AUGUCUGAUCCUCACUCCCCGAGCCCUCCUUUGUCUACUGUAUACUGCCACACUCUCUGCCUCCCUCAUCAUCCGCUCCACAGUGGUCAUCGCCUUAGGAUCUCCCUGGUCAAUGAUACCUAUGUCCAAAGUCUCCCGCCCAAUCAUCUGUAUCUGGUGUCAGAUAGGCAACAGAUCAAUGGCAUAGUCAUCCUCGGCCUGCUAGUUCUCUAA